UACGAAGGGUGCAAGCGUUACUCGGAAUCACUGGGCGUAAAGCGCGCGUAGGCGGUUUCUUAAGUCUGUCGUGAAAGCCCUGGGCUCAACCUGGGAACGGCGAUGGAUACUGGGAAGCUAGAAUGUGAGAGAGGAUGGUGGAAUUCCCGGUGUAGCGGUGAAAUGCGUAGAUAUCUGGAGGAACACCGGUGGCGAAGGCGGCAUCCUGGACCAAUAUUGACGCUGAGGAGCGAAAGCCAGGGGAGCAAACGGG
rnacentral:rRNA from 1 species